CCGGAAGGGUGAUGUGGCUGGGGCUCCGCCGGCCUCACUAUGUCUGCCAUUUUCAAUUUUCAGAGUCUGUUGACUGUAAUCUUGCUGCUUAUAUGUACCUGUGCUUAUAUCCGAUCCUUGGCACCCAGCCUCCUGGACAGAAAUAAAACUGGGUUGUUGGGUAUAUUUUGGAAGUGUGCUAGAAUUGGUGAACGGAAGAGUCCUUAUGUUGCAGUGGGCUGUAUCGUGAUGGCCUUCAGCAUCCUUUUCAUACAGUAGCUUGGAAAAAUGCCAGAAUUCUUCAGUCGCCAUCAGAUUUAAAUAUGACAAAAAGGGACUGAUCUGCCGAAAAUAAUGGAAAGAAUGGUUAACCCUUUUAUCUCUGAACGUUGAAUGAGCUACACUUUCAGCUGCUUUUCUCUUUUUUUGUUAUUGGACCAAUGUUCUAUAUAAAUAAUUAGGAUGUAACAUUUACUACCUAGAGUUGAAAUAUGUCUGUAACAAUCAACCUCAGUACUGUCGCUACAAUAUUACAUUCUGCAUCUGUCAUUCUGUUGUGCCAGAUACCAGUUUUUAGUGAGGUAUCUUUAAGGCACAUAGUAGAAAACAAAAUUGGUGAAUUAUUCAAGUUCCUUUCACUGUGAUUUGGAAACGAUAAAUGUUUAUAGAGUGAGACCUUUUUUUUUGGACUAGCUUUUUGAUUGGGGGGGGUUCAGUUUGUGCUGGUAAGGACUGCAUCCAUGUUUAAUAAUGCUGGCUUUCCCUCUGGCCAUUUUGAGCAUUAACCAGAGUACCUCUGCUCCUAGCAAUAUGGGGUUUACUACAGGUGUUUGAGCUAUUUAAAACAAGCCUCUGUAGUUCUUGAGGAGGAGGACAGAUGUGACUUUAGAGGAAAUGUUAAGACUAUUGAGAAAAUGUUCCUAUUUAACAUAAAAUAAUUCAGAAUACCUGACUGGUGUUAUUAUCUCUGAAACCUCUGGUUAAGUAUGGAUAAAUGUCUUAAGCAAAAAUUUGACCAGCUGUCGUUCUGCAAAUAAGACUACAUGCUUAGAGUAAAAAGAGCUAAACAGAACAAUUACAGAAUGAUAAUCUUGGAUGUGUUUUUCAUUCUUUUUAGUGUUAGGUCUGUACAUUUUAAUUACCCCAAAAUACAAACUGUGUUUUUGUUUUUUUAAUACAUUGCUCUCAAUCUAGUUUAUGUUUUCUAUAUCAACUUGAACUGGAAUCUUGUAUAACUUAGUAAGUGAUGAUAAACAGCUUUCAAAUCUA